GGUGACGGAAUGAAAUAAGCAGUCCACUUUCACAGUUGACCAGGUAGGUAUUAGUUACUUAAGAAAGUUGUCCCCCACCCCAAUAAAACAAAAGCAAAAAGAAAGUUUUCCCCAAUUUUCAGUCUUAAAGAAUUUGUAUAAAGUAUUCUUCUAUAGCUUGUAUUCUUAGAAACUGGGGGAAUUCUAGUGAAAAGCACGACUUACAUGUUAGUUAGUCCGUACAUACUAGAUAAAUGAAUUAUCUUCCUUAUUAAACUUUAAUACUGAGAAAAACUUAAGGAUACCCAAAUCCAGUUAUCUCAGAUUAGGACCUGCUGACUGAUGACGAUACACAUACUACUGGUUGAAGAGCCACUAGGAAAACGAAAUAAAACAAAGCAAAACACCUUUUCCUUUCCCUGGAACUGGACUCGAAUGCUCUAGUCCACAGGCCAAAUCAGUCCCAAUCGAGGUUUUGGUAAAUAAAGUUUUACUGGAACACAGCCCAUAAAACAGGCUCAUUUGUUUUUGUAUUGUCUAUGGGUACUUUCACACUGCAAGAGCAGAACUGAGUAGUUGUGAUGGAGACCACGUGACCUGCAAAGCCUAAAUAUUUACCCUCUGAAUAUUUUCAGAAAACAUUUGCCAACCUCUGUCACAGAACAAAGCCUCCAGUACUUGCAAAAUAAUAUUAUUUUGUCAAUUACACGGUACGGUAUUAAUAUUUUUUCCGGGAGUAGUAUCCAGACCUAUUCUGUUGGCUUUGGAAAGUAUAAAGAAUUUGGCAGUUGGAAUCUUGUUUUCAUAGAGAUUAUCUGAAUGGCUGUGGCUGUGACCUGAUAAAUUGGUGCACCUGCUUUACUGAGUAAGAAGAAGGCUUUUUGGAAGCAUGGUAGUAUGGCUGUAUAAUUUUAUAAGUGAAAAGGCUUAAAAAAUUCUAGGAGGUUUAAUUUCUGCCAGAGUUCCUGUGACAAAUAAACCAAUAUAUUUUUAAAGUAGUAUGCAAACAAAUCUAAAAGAGAUCUAUAAUUAGUUGUUACUGCACAUGGAUUUCAGGGCAAAUUAAAUGAAACACGUUAAGGAGACUAGAGUUCAUUGCCAGUGUUUUGUCUCCAAGCAUGUUAUUUUCAUUCAUAAGUUUUUAGAAAAGCUUUUUAAACUUUUCACCUUAUUUAGAAUAAUUCUUUAAAAUAUAAAUCCUGUGACUUUGCUGCAAUGGCAUUUUAUAUAGUAUUGAAUAUGGAAAACCAAUGGACACAGCAGCCAUUUUUAAAACUUUGUAUUGACGUACAACACAUGUACAGAAAAAUGCACGUAUCAUAUGUCCACUUCAAUGUAUUCUCAAAAAUUAAACACAUCUGUGUAAACAGCACUUAGAUCAAGGAACCAGCAGCCCUCUCAUGCCCAUUUUGAGUUAAAACCCAUCAAAAGGGUAACCCUUAUCCUUGCUUCUAAUACAGUGCAUUAGUUUUGUCUGCUUUUAUUUACUUUUUUGUGUCUUCUGCUCAACCUGAUGUCUGUGAGAGUCAUUCAUGUUUUUACAUAUAAUAGUGUUUUGUUCAUUCUCAUAGUUGUAAAGUAUGCUAUCACACGAGUACCUAAUUUUUAUUUACUCUACUGUUGAAGAGCAUUUGUGCAGUUUCCCGAUUGAGGCCAUGAGAAAUAGAGUUCCGAUAAACAAUCUAUCACAUGCCUUUUGUUGAAUAUAUAUAUAUAUAUAUAUGUACAUAGGCACACAUAUAUAUAUGCCUCAUCCUUUUUGCAUAGUGGAAUUUUAGAUAUUAUGUAUAUAUAAAUGUGUAUAUAUUUGUUAAGCACAUAUAAAAGGACUUACCUUCCUUUUAAUAAAUUAUUUCUCACUGAGAAUAAAAGAGACUAAGUCAUUUGGAAAUAAUCUUUAUAAUAAAUUUAAAAACUCCAUUGUCACAGAAUCAUCAAAUCUCAUACGUGGAAGAAUUUGAGAGGUCAUCUCCAGGUAAUCUCCAGGAUUUACUUGAUGUAUGUGUCAUUUUUUCUAAUAUUCUCAAUAAAUAGGCAAUCAGCUUCAGUUUAUUUACCUCCAUGUUAAAGAAACCCACUUUUUGAAGAGGAAGCUACUUCAGUUAUCACAAAGCCGAAACAGAGAAAGUUAUUUCUUAUAUUAAACUGAAAUGCAGCUUAGUCCCUUUUUGAUUCUAGCUCUACUCUCAAAAGUCCUGUAGAUUUGAGCUUAAUUUCUCUUCUGCAUGGUGAUCUUGUAGAUAUUGAAAGAUAGUCAUUAUGCCUUUUGAAAAAGCCAUUUCUCUCUUCUUUUUUGUGUUGGUAAUUGUUUCUAGAUUCUUCAACGUCAUGUAAACAUUACAUAGAUGUAGUCUAGUCUGUCGUCAUCUCUUUUAAAUAUUGAUGCUCAUUUUGAAAGAGAGAGAGAAAGGGAAAGAGACUGGAAAAGAAAUGCAAAAAAUGACCAACAAAUGUUAUUUCCCAAGGCUAGAAUGACAGAUAAUUUAGAUAUUUUUGGCUUACAUUUUUCCUAGGAGUUCUGAAAUGAACUUAGAAACUUCUAGGAAAAUAAAAAGUCAUUAAACAAUAUGUGUCCAAAAUUUUGCAAAUUCUCUUACAGAAUCACUAAUCCAGUGUAAAACAUACCACAACUAUUCUCUUUCUUAUACUGAGCCUGAUUUUUUUUUAUAAGCACAGGUUAAUUAUGUUAGUUGUUUUUGGCAAACACAAUUAUCAUAUCAUAUGUGAGACAUAGUCAAUGACAGUCUUGUGAUAACUUUCACUUUUUCGUUCAAUAUUAUUUAAUUAGUUAAAUUUCUUUCUUUAUAUGGUCACCCCUGCAGCAUAUGGAAAUUCCCAGGCUAGGGGUUCAAUCAGCGCAGCAGCAGAGGCCUACACCACAGCCACAGCAACGCCAGAUCCAAGCUGCAUCUGCAAACUACACUGCAGCUUGUGGCAAGGCUGGAUCCUUAACCACUGAGCGAGGCCAGGGAUUGAACCUGCAUCCCCAGAGAGACAGCGCUGGGUUCUUAACCCACUGAGCCACAGUGGGAACUCCUCCACAUUAUUUAUUACAUAUCUGUUGACCAAAUAGCUUGAGUUACUUGAGUGUCUCUUCUUAGAGAAGCAUGCUGCUGGUAAGGGAAGUGGACUUGUAUUCCUCCCAGGAUAAAACGAUGGUAACAGCUGCAACAAUGGUGACCACAAAGUAGCACAUUACAGGAUCACCCAAUUCAUUUCAGAGACUUUCAUGGAAUACUGAGCCCCGGAGUCAGGAAGCCCACAGUUCAUAGAGAGAAAAACCGAUAAACGUACAAUGUGCCCAGAAGAGAGGAGUGUGAUGGGAUCCUGGAAGAGGGUUGGAAAGGUGUGGUGAGUGAAGUUUAGAGAAAACACGGAAGGCUCAGGCUGCAAUCAUUUUCUGAAAGGCUUUCUGAGAGGUGUCUUGAAUGCAGUGUGGCAUGAGUAAAUCAUUUAAACAUAGAAGUGGCAUGAUCAGACUGGGUGUAUCCAAAAAUUCAUUAUGGCAGCAUACCGCCCAGUGUAAGUCAGUUUUACAGGAGCAUGUAUUUAUUCUUAAUCAUUUCAGUUUAGAUGGAAGUUUCAUCAUUGAACAAAUAACAUUUCUGUAGUCAGUAUGUCGUUAACCUUAAAUGGUCAGGGAGGAAAAACUAAUGAAAAAGAUUUUUUUUUUUCCUAAACCAGAUUUGAAAUUUUCAUUUUUCCUGGCUCUCUCAUAGAUGUUAACUUCAGACUUCAAAUAUUUAUUUAAUUUUACUGGUGUUGGUGGAUUUACUAUCUUCGAAAACCAAGUGUGACAUAACUUUAUUUCAUAUUAAUAAUGCUGUCUGAGCUUGGUUUCUACGACUCUUGGAUACAUUUGGAAUAUAAAGACGAUCUUCUGGAAGUGGAACAAGACCUUUGCAGCUGUGCUUGUGUUAAACAGUUUCAGUCCAAAAAUAAUCAUGUUCUUAUAUUACCAUAGGGCACUGGGCUUUCUUUUGUGUUCAGCAUUGAUUUGGAUCUAUAAAAUUUAGUAUGCCAAGUUUGUCAUCAAAUCCUUGGAACUCAGAAGAGAGAAUGGAGUUUGAGGUUAGUUUGCAGAAACAGAACUUUUUAUUAAUACUGGAAAAUAGCCAUGCUGAUUGAAGGAAGGGUGGAAAAGCAGUACCAUGUCUCUUUCCGUCUGAAACAACAUGCAAUCUCUUGCUAAUAAAUGCUUUACUCCAAAGAGCUGAAAAUGUGCAGUGUUGGGCUGCCUGAAAAUGAGCGCUGGAAGGAGGAGGAAUAAUGGAAUAAUGUCUUUCCUUCCCAAUAUGUCAGGUUCUUUGCCUGAGCAGACUCAUUUGUCCACUGGUCUUUAGCUUCCAUCAAGUCCAGCUCUUGAAUGUCAGUCAGCCUGUCUAGGUGAUAAGCACAGAAGCUUGUUCUAACCAAUGACUCUGUGCCUACAUUUUUACAUUUGGCUUAGUUGGCCUGGGUUCCCUCAGCAGGCUGUCACUGGAGUUAGUAAAGGAAGAGAUUGUGCCCUCAGAUAAUCUUGUGUUAAACAUUACCUUCCUCUUCCAAAUCCACUUCAACCUACCUGUGCACUAGGCAAUAAGGGCUUGAAAUAAGACAGCCUUAGAUUACCAAACCCCUUCCUGCAAAACUCCUGCCUGGUUUUCACCUUUCUUUUAUUGAUUCUGUUACUCUGUGUUAUGGGUUGGAUUGCACACCCCCCCCCAAUAAAAAAAAAGUGUUGCAUUCCUAACCCCUCAGUACCUCCAGUUGAAGUCCUUCUCCCCCACCUCAAAAUAUGGCCUUAUUGGAGUGCCUGCUGUGGCAUGGUGGGUUAAGAAUUUGACUGUAGUGGCUUGGGUCACUGCACAUGCACAUGUUCAAUCCCUGGCCCAGCCCAGUGGGUUAAGGGAUCUGUGUUUCAGAAUACGUCACAGCUGCAGCUCAAAUUCAGUCCCUGGCCUAGAACUUCCAUACACCAUGCGUGUGGCCAU
rnacentral:lncRNA from 1 species